CUUUAUUUUUAUAUGUGGUUGUAAGUGACGGAUUCUACUCCUUACAGAAAUAGUGACGACAUUCGUGACUAACAAUGAAGAAGUUGUUGACUCAACCUUGGAUCUAUUUGAAGCAAAAUCAACUGCGGUAUUGUAUUAUAUAAAGAUAUAUAUUUAUGUAUAUGCUAUAUGCAGCAAGGUACAAAAUGUGUGUACAUGAUUAUACUUUUUACAAUGCAUAGAGGAUGUUACUGAUGUGGAAACCCAGUGUUUGUUUAAGAGCUGUUUUGUAAAAAGAAAAUGUAGAACUGAAGGAAAAUGUGCGCUUAACCACAGGAGGUGUUUUCCUACGAGCGUUUAAAAUGCACAGCAGGAAAACUACACCCCCGUAACUUUCACGCAAUCUUUUUAUUUAUUUGUAACAAUGCUAAAGCACAACUGACCUUCAGGAGCAAGAACAAUUGAAAUAUGUCACUAGUAGUAGGGAUGUGGCUUUGCGUGGGUGUUUGUGGGUUGGUGGUGAGAGCUCACGGGUGCUCACGAUAAGGUUCAUUUUCAUUGCAGGUAAAAUCCAAAGACGUCCAUGGAGUGGGGAACAUUGGCAGGGCGACAGCGGUUUUCCUCUCCGCCAUAAUCCUAAUCCUGGUCCUGGUUUUCAGGAGAAGGUUCCUGCCGAAGAGGCCACUUGAACAUCCCCAAACCUCACCUGCUGAAAACGUUUAUGAAGUAUUAUGACGGGUCUCAACAUUAAGAGGAUGAGCGAGUCCAUAAGGCCUUCACGCUUGCUGAAUGUGUCUCCUCGUCUUUGCUGACUUGAUCCACCUCUUCAUCUUUGGAGGGAAAGCGUUUGAGAAUAAUGGGUCCCAGUGCUCUCAGAUAGCUGUGAAAAAAGACAAAUGUUUGUUAUGUGUG
ensembl:lncRNA